ensembl:lncRNA
UUAAAAGAUUCAUACAUAUAGAAGGUAGUAAAUGUUGUCUUCAAUUGCAUGUGUUCAGUUGCAUGUGUUCAGUUGCAGUUAUCUUCAUGGCAACAGGAGGGGUACCACAAAUGUUUAGCUUAUUUUUAAUAAGGAUUGGAUACUUCCCACAAGGGUAAUAUUUUUUUUUUUCCAUUACAUUUGAGUUCUUUUGGCCAAACAUGCCUCAUGUUGUCAUGUGUCUUAAAAAAACAUCAUUGAUGAUGCUCAAAACAUUUUGAUAAAGGAUGAAUUGCAACACAUACCACUAAAAGCAAAGUGACACUUUUUGAGGAUUCUGGCUGACGUAUGCAAAAAACCCAGUAUGAAGCUAUAGAAUAAAAUUAAAUAAACUGCUUUUUACCCGUAAAACCUGUGUUGCAGUUCUGCACUCUUGUGCUCCCUAAUAAAAUUAUUCAAUGCAAAGUAUUUUAACUUUUUUUUUUUCUCCUAAUGUCUUUAAAAAUCAGAUUGAAGAAUGGCAGAGCAGCUGAAGCUGAGAGUCAUUGUGGCAGAUGAUGAUUUUAGGAGACUUGACGUUCCAUCUGGGAUGCCAAGAACUUUGACUGAUCUUCAGAGCACAAUUUGCCAAGCAUUUGGAAUUGAAAGAGACUUUCGUAUUCAAUUCAUGGAUCCUGACUUCAAUAAUGAGUUUAUGAACAUAACAUCAAUGCAAGACAUUCAAGACCGAAGUACAAUCAAACUUGUGUACAUGGCAAAUCUGGAUACAAGUGCAUCUUUGUCAAAGCAGUAUCCCACACAGUAUCCCACAUGCAAAAUUGACCUCAGCCUAAAAAGGCUGAGGUCAAUUUUUGUCCAUUACACCCAGCUGGCGAAACGGAUGACAGUCUAGAAAACAUCAGGGUUGAGCUUUUGACCGACGUCAGACGAAGAAACAGUGCCUCAGAUGUAAGACAGAAGAUGUCAAGAACAUUUUCCUACCGUAGACAAGAGGUGGUGCAGGGAAGUCCAACUGCUGGGGAGUUUAAAGCUAGGUGGCCUGCACUUUUCCAGAUUAAUGAGGUAAAUGCUGAAUUCCAGCGUAUUACAACACUUCAACUGGAGACGACCUUCGCGGCACAGUUAGACAGAAUUACACCUCGGCUGAUGACAGUUUUCCAGAAGAAGGGCGGUGUUUCUGGGCAGAAACUUGCCCACCACUUGCAGAUCAUGCAAGAGG